GAUUUCAGCUGUGACAUUCAGAUGGUAGGGUCAGAAUUUGUCGUAAACAACAUGAAGGCAUGGAUCCAUCAUGCCUUGUAUCAAGGGCAUGUCACUUUAA